GCGCUGGUAGCUCAGCUGGAUAGAGCAUCUGGCUACGAACCAGAAGGUCGGGGGUUCGACUCCCUCCCAGCGCACCA
rnacentral:tRNA from 2 species